rnacentral:lncRNA from 1 species
CUCUCAUCACUGACCUCUCCAUCUGGAUAAUGCCCUCAAAGUGCUUCCUGAGCUCCCUUUCCACCAUUUUUUUCAGUUCAACCGGAUAUGCAAGGGAGAUCGGGUUUUCUGUGGUAGCUAGGAUCUCGAUCUCAAGCCAAGCUACCUUAUCAGUAACCUCCUUUACUUUUUCUAUUGCUUUCUCUAUCUCCUUAGCUACUUCUUCCCUGGC